UGGAUGACUGCAAGACAGGUAGAUCUC
rnacentral:piRNA from 1 species